rnacentral:rRNA from 1 species
AAAUUGAAGAGUUUGAUCAUGGCUCAGAUUGAACGCUGGCGGCAGGCCUAACACAUGCAAGUCGAACGGUAACAGGAAGCAGCUUGCUGCUUCGCUGACGAGUGGCGGACGGGUGAGUAAUGUCUGGGAAACUGCCUGAUGGAGGGGGAUAACUACUGGAAACGGUAGCUAAUACCGCAUAAUGUCGCAAGACCAAAGAGGGGGACCUUCGGGCCUCUUGCCAUCGGAUGUGCCCAGAUGGGAUUAGCUUGUUGGUGGGGUAACGGCUCACCAAGGCGACGAUCCCUAGCUGGUCUGAGAGGAUGACCAGCCACACUGGAACUGAGACACGGUCCAGACUCCUACGGGAGGCAGCAGUGGGGAAUAUUGCACAAUGGGCGCAAGCCUGAU